rnacentral:rRNA from 1 species
UAGGGAAUCUUCGGCAAUGGGGGGAACCCUGACCGAGCAACGCCGCGUGAGUGAAGAAGGUUUUCGGAUCGUAAAGCUCUGUUGUUAAGGAAGAACGAGUGUGAGAAUGGAAAGUUCAUGCUGUGACGGUACUUAACCAGAAAGGGACGGCUAACUACGUGCCAGCAGCCGCGGUAAUACGUAGGUCCCGAGCGUUGUCCGGAUUUAUUGGGCGUAAAGCGAGCGCAGGCGGUUAGAAAAGUCUGAAGUGAAAGGCAGUGGCUCAACCAUUGUAGGCUUUGGAAACUGUUUAACUUGAGUGCAGAAGGGGAGAGUGGAAUUCCAUGUGCAGCGGUGAAAUGCGUAGAUAUAUGGAGGAACACCGGUGGCGAAAGCGGCUCUCUGGUCUGUAACUGACGCUGAGGCUCGAAAGCGUGGGGAGCGAACAGG